rnacentral:tRNA from 1 species
GCCUGGCUGGCUCAGCUGGUAGAGGAUGUGACUCUUGAUCUCAGGGUCGUGAGUUUGAGCCCCAUGUUAGGCA